rnacentral:rRNA from 1 species
CCUAAAAUUUUGGUUUCUGCUCAGGAUGAACGCUGGCGGCGUGCCUAAUACAUGCAAGUCGAACGCUUUGUGGUUCAACUGAUUUGAAGAGCUUGCUCAGAUAUGACGAUGGACAUUGCAAAGAGUGGCGAACGGGUGAGUAACACGUGGGAAACCUACCUCUUAGCAGGGGAUAACAUUUGGAAACAGAUGCUAAUACCGUAUAACAAUGACAACCGCAUGGUUGUUAUUUGAAAGAUGGUUCUGCUAUCACUAAGAGAUGGUCCCGCGGUGCAUUAGCUAGUUGGUAAGGUAAUGGCUUACCAAGGCGAUGAUGCAUAGCCGAGUUGAGAGACUGAUCGGCCACAAUGGGACUGAGACACGGCCCAUACUCCUACGGGAGGCAGCAGUAGGGAAUCUUCCACAAUGGGCGAAAGCCUGAUGGAGCAACGCCGCGUGUGUGAUGAAGGGUUUCGGCUCGUAAAACACUGUUGUAAGAGAAGAAUGACAUUGAGAGUAACUGUUCAAUGUGUGACGGUAUCUUACCAGAAAGGAACGGCUAAAUACGUGCCAGCAGCCGCGGUAAUACGUAUGUUCCAAGCGUUAUCCGGAUUUAUUGGGCGUAAAGCGAGCGCAGACGGUUAUUUAAGUCUGAAGUGAAAGCCCUCAGCUCAACUGAGGAAUUGCUUUGGAAACUGGAUGACUUGAGUGCAGUAGAGGAAAGUGGAACUCCAUGUGUAGCGGUGAAAUGCGUAGAUAUAUGGAAGAACACCAGUGGCGAAGGCGGCUUUCUGGACUGUAACUGACGUUGAGGCUCGAAAGUGUGGGUAGCAAACAGGAUUAGAUACCCUGGUAGUCCACACCGUAAACGAUGAGUGCUAGGUGUUUGAGGGUUUCCGCCCUUAAGUGCCGCAGCUAACGCAUAAGCACUCCG